UGGACUAUUAGGUUCUUUCUGAUUCCCCCUCCAGCGUCACCAUUACUAAUGGUAUGGUCCUCAGCAUCAGGUCCUUUUUGUCCCCCACUGGUCUUCUGAGCAGAUUUGACGCAGUUUCAUCUCCUUCCUGAUGCAUCCUGAGCCCCUCAGUGCCUAGCUCCUGCGUAAGCGCUUUAAUCUGGACCAAGUGGAUUGAAAAUGGCCAGAAAUUGAUCUUGAUCACUUUAGAUAUUGUAUGACAAAGGAAAAAAAUCAUUUCUGUCCAGUUAAAAUCCAUUUGAGCCAGUUUAAGCCAUUUGUGUAGAGCUGGAGCCUGAGGUCGGCAAACUCGGGAAGAUGGCUGAAGACUAUGCUGACUCAAGGCCAGACAAGGAUCCAGGUUUCUCCGAUGGCAGAUUCACUUUUUUCUCGACUUCACCCUGGACCUGUGGUGACUGGAAGCCUUGAGAUGUGAUGAGAAAACUGAGGCUCAGAGAAGUCCCAUGACUUGUCCAAGGCAAUGAAGCUAGUUCACAGAGAGGCACAGAAUGAGCUCUAGAAGCACUUCAGAGAAUACCAUUUUCUGGCCUGGAGAGAUCAGCACCCUCACUACUUAAGUGGCCUAAGAGCCAGCACCUUCAUGGAAUGGUGAAGGUAAGGCCAUUCUUCCCUUCUUUUCUAUUUUCUGGCAAUUGCUUAUGUAUUCCAGAACUGGCCUGCCUGUGUUCGGAGGAGCCUGCACCGGGAACUGGAAUGCCACAGUGCUCAUGAUGGGGUCUUUAUGACCUAUAUUUGGUAUCUGUCCAAAUGAUUUCACACAUCAUUCAUCAAGUAAAGUUGAAGGUGUAUUAUUAAAAAGAAUUUUUAGAAUAAAAUAUGUACAUAUUUGUACACACGUGUACAUCAAAAUGAAGGUGACUAUAUUAUUUCAGGUUUCUAUAAACUAAAUAUAUGAAACAACAAAAGGGAAGAGUUAUAUGCUUACAUAAUUAAAAAUGUAAAAUUCUAUAAAAGCUUGAAUGACAUUAAAAUAUAAUUGGUCAUCUGGGCACUCAGACAAUAAUAUAAUAAGGUACAUUCUGUCCUUAUAUAUGAUUUGCAUAUUUGCAAAAUCAUCCAUUUUGCCGCAAUUUAGUGAUAAACCAAAGAUCAAUUCUGCUAUUUAUGUGGUCAUAUUUGGAUAAAUGCAGAAUCCCAACUACAGCUUUUGUUUCCAAUCUUAGGCUAUAAAUAAAGCUCUCUGCAUGGUGUGUUUGGUGCCACAAUCAUCACAUUUUUUGAUGAUUUCACUGUUCAAAACACUCCCCAAGCAUAAUGUUUAGUGCUUCUAAACUUAAAGAAGGCUGGAAGAUACCUCACAGAUAAACUAGGGGUAUCACAUGAGCUUCAGUCAUGUGUGACGGUGCUGCUGGCUGUGAUUUUGUUGUUAAUAAAUCAGAUCUAUAUGCUAUGGGCCAGCACUCACUAGUACAAUGUUUGCCAUGAUUUUAUCAAACUUAUCAAUUGUGAAUAGCAAGAAGCAUGACUGCUAGCAAACAUGCUGAUUACAUAUACUACAUAUCAAUUUAUAAGGGAGACAAUGUGAUCGUCAUCAGAAAGCAAGCAAAAGAAAUACAUAGGUUAAAUGACAAGACAGGGGCAAACAAAUCACACAUGUUAACAUUAGUGAAAAACUCUUCCAUCUUACUAACGAUAAAAGAAUUCAAGUUGGAGUAACAAUGACAGGCAAGUGUUGUUGCCUAUCAUAUUAGAAAAGAUUUAUGAACUGUGCUGGCCACAGUGCAAUGAUCUUAUCAUUCUUGUAUACUACCAGUGGUUUAAAUCAGCACCAUGUCAUAGGAAGUGGCUUGAUAAUCUCUACAAAAACAUGGAUAAAUCUUAGUACCUCAUGACUGAGAAACUGAACUUCAAAGUAUGUCUUCUGAGAAAUAGAUGUUCAGUUACAGAUUUAUACACCUUUAGUAUAAUGUUAUCUGUAAAAGCUAAAAUAGGAAAAAUAGAUGAGCCUUCGAAGAGGGGGAAGAGAUAUACUAUGGACUGAAACAAGAUGAAAGCCUUAUAAAAUCAUUAAAUUAUUUUCAAAGAACAGUUGAUGACAUGAAAAACAUUUUAACUUCAUUGAAAUAAAGCAGAUGGCAUAUAAGUUAAAAAUUAAGUUACACUUACAUCAUAUGCACUGAACUAGGUCAAGGAGAAUAAAUCAGUUUCAGGGUAAAGCAUACUCUAAGUUUAAUUUAGUACAUACGAGUUGAGGGAAGCUCCUAAUGUGCUCCUCAAUAGCCACCCACCUCAUUUAGUUGGACAUGCCUUAGGAGGUGGGAUAAUGAGUUGGAAUGGGUAAUGGAGUCUUACUGUACUGCAUCAGACCAGGAAGAACAGACUCACCUUUGGCAAUGCACAGAAAGGAAAAAGUUCAUUCAGACUUCUGUGAAAACAGAUGAACUGGCCCAGGUUUUGGAAGAAGAUGACUUUGGAGAUGAGUCAUAAAAGAUACGUAGUGUUUUAAGGUUGCAAUGCAGGGUAAGUAUUGACCUUCUUAGCCUCUAAGUGACAGUAAUGCCACUCUACAUUCUGAAGUCAAUGAUUUAAGAGGCAUUAGAAGUGAUUUUCCUUUGCAGUGUAUAUACCUGGAAUUUCCUAGUACCUUCCUCUAGGGUUCAGGUAAGUUGUCAUGUUAUAAUGUUCUGAUCUUGAUUUCAUUAGAGAAAAGACAUAAAGAAAUAUUUCAUGAAUUGUACACCAUCUGAUGAUCUACAUGCAUAUGUUAUGUGGAGAAUGGAUGAAGGGUGGUGGGAAGGAGAUAUCAGAGAGAAGAUGAGAAAGAAACAAAUAUUUGUUGAGUGCUAGUGAGCUCUAACAGUACUUAGGUCAUUUGAUUUUACCUAAGGUGCUUGAGGCCACUAGGUAGGCAUUCAUUCCAAAUUCCAGUAUUGCCUAUGAGAAUCAACAUGGACCUGAAGGAGAGGGAUAAAAUUUGCAAAUGGACAGUGGUUAGAAGUAGCUGCACAUGGAAAUGUUUUUCAAAUUAGCUACAGUGGAGGUACAGGGAUUAUUAAUUGGCCUAACUCUAAGGCAAAGACAGCUAAGGAGAAAGUGACUUCACAGAACUGUAUCAAAGUUGCAAGAAACAGGGGCUAUGACUAUACUCUUCAAACUGCAGACAAUGGUACCAAUUGGAGGGGUUUAGAAAUUUGAACUUGGGCUCCCUGGCAGGAUGGAAGAGGCUACUAAGAGAGAUUUGGACUUAAGAAGAGUAUAUUGGAUGAAAGGGCAUUUCCUACUUUAACAUUUCUGCACAUACCUGUUCCCUCUGCUUAUGGUAUCUUUGGCCAUGUUCUAAGUCAGUGACUAGAAUGCAGCUAUACCAGUAUUUGUGAAUGUAUCCACCAUCUCUAGAAGGCCACAGAAGAAACAGUGAUGACACCCAGAGAGGAGACCCUGGCAGGAGUGGGGAGAGCACUUACUCCAUUUGUACCUCUUGAUCUUGCAUUAUACAUGCUGUCUCCUUCCAAGAAGAAAACUAUGAAACACACACAAACACACAACACACACACACACACACACAGAGAGAGAGAGAGAGAGAGAGAGAGAGAGAGAGAGAGAGAGAGAGAUCUUCAUGUUUAGCCAGAGCAUUUCCAUCUGCUGAUCUGUAAUCACAAAGUGUCCCUUUCUUGUCCGUGAAGCCUUUCCCUGGCCAUUAAAACCAAAUUCUAUUCCUAUUGACCACCUGGCAUAGGAUCCAGUUGGUAGAAUGAAGCAGAGCUACCAAAGGUAGCCUCUGAGUAGAAAGGGGAAGUACAUUAUGUGAAGUGGGAUCCUGAACUCAGCAGAACUUCUACUUGGUAUUUCUUCAUACUGUUGAGUAGGCGACCAAGACACUUCUUCACUGUUUUGAAGGUGGAAGAUAAAAACCUAGAAACAAAGAUUUGGUGAGAGAAGCUGAAGGGCCAGGGCAAGGUCAUGUAGAAGCUUAGUAGAGCUUAGCUGUGUUGAGUUAGAGUUGCAAGUUAAUGUGUUGCCCUAGAGCUGUUCAGAACUGGUUCUGAAAGCCUGAAAAACAUGCUGUCAGCUCCAUACCCCUUAACAAACCUACCCAUGGCCAUUUAUAUAAGCAAUUAGUCUUUUGUGAUCUGCUGGGUUUUAUCAGGCUUAUUCAAUAAAAUUUGACUGACUUUUGCAAGGAAGGCCCAGCACAGAGCAGUGGUCAUGGGCAUUCACAAAGGAGAGAUGGUUUCUGUGAGAAUCAAUGGUUCUUGAAUGUGGGUCUUAUGAUGGAUUAGGGCCCAAAUUCUGUGGAUUCUAACAGAGCCGAUAUAGUGCUUGGUUCCUAGUAGGUGCUCAGUAAGUGUUUGUGACAUAAUUCGUUUAUUGAGCACCUCCUAUCAAUCAAGCACUGUGCUAGGCUCUGGGGCCACAUAGCUAAGUUAGACAAGAUGCUCCCACUUGAGGUCCUUAUGUCUAGUGGUGGCUACAGUACAAUUAUUAAUUAUAAUAACAGUACUGAUGAUAAGAGGAUGUACUCAGGAAACAGAAGCAGACUGCACUGUGAGAAGAGGCAGUAACAAUACACUAUUUAUCCCAAAACCUUAGGAAGAAAAGGAGGGGGAGAGCAAAUAGAGAGGUAAGGCUGAGAGGCUUUGCCUUAAAGAUGAGAGGUCAGAGCAUAAUGUUCCCAGUAGAGAGGACAUAGGUAAAGAUUCAGGAGUUAAGGCAGUGAGCAGUGGAAAGAUGAGGCUAUAGAGGUGAUUAGAGUGGGAACUGGCCAGGAUUUCCAGGAAGAACUCUUCUGGAGCAGCAGAAUGUGGAUGUGCAGGUGGCACCAGGGGAUGAUGGAGAAGGUUAAGAGUAUGGAAAGGGCAGUGAUUGAAAUAAUGGAUGGCAGAUCCCAGGCCAGUCAGAGAAGGUAAUUAUGCUGAAUGAGGCUGGUAAAUUGGGAGAAAUCAAGAGUUCUAUGAAUGCAAUAAGUAGAAACAGAGAAAAGUUCCCAGUGGGACAGAAGCAGCCAGAGAGUAGAAGAUGACACAGGUGGGGCAGUUUUUGGUGACAAAAAGAUUCUGGGCGUGACUGAGGAUGUGGAUAAGUGGUGUAGGUGAAGGAAGGGGUUAUGGUAGUUGGACCAAGGAUGUUGAAAUCCCUAUGAUCAUACAAAGGCUUGCACCAGGAGUCGAGGAUCAAUUAAAGUGUAGGAGAAAGUAAGCAGAUGACAGUGACAGAACUUGCUGGGGGGGAAUGUAAAUGUCUUAGUUGCCCUUUACCUGAAAAGGGGGGGUGAGCAAACACGGGGUAUGCAUCUGUGAGUUUGGUUUCUCCUUCCCAUUGGUUUCUUACGGGAAUGAGAUGGAGGACUCCAGCUACAAUGGGAAUGAGCCAGUGCCUGUGGAGUCUAGCCUGUCCCACCAGUCCCAGCUGCCUAAAGGCCUAGCUAAGGAUAAGGCAAUGCAUUGUCUGUGGCUAGUCAGUAACGUGCAACUCUGUAGAAGCAUUGAGAAGCACAGGAAGGAAGAAAAACUGGAUCACACAAAGGAAUGGAAGCAGUAUGCUCUAGGCUAAUUCUCAGAGAGUGUAGUGCGUGCUGGCCUGUUUGCAUCUUUUCCAUGUCUGUACAAGAAUAGUGGUAAGACAUGCGAGGCAGCUUGCUUCAGUGAUGCUGUGGAAUGACAGGCAGGGAAGGGCAAGCUUUCCUUGUGUCCAGGGCAGUUUUGGGGGUACAAUUUUGAUUAACUAUUCAUUCUAGAGUUUAGCUCUUGGUGGGGAUGGUAUCUCAGAGAAAGAGCAGUGACAGCUAACCACUCUCAUUUUGGGAGAAACCUGUGAGGAAAAAACUGAAGAAAAUAUAUAAUAGCUUCAAGAAACUCUAAGAUGUUUCCUUUUACAGUAACAGCAUCAGGAGCCACAACAAUCAACAGCUAUAGUGACGACAGUAGCUCAUACAUAUAUUGUCUUAUCCUAUACAAGGCUCUGUUUGAAACACUUUCAUGCACAUACAUUCUUUUAGUACUUACAACAGUACUGCGAAGUCUAAAUAUCUAUAUUAGUCCAUUUACUGUUAUGUAACAAAAUACAGGAGACUGGAGACUUUAUAAACUAAAGACUUUACUUUAGUUCAAGAACCCUUGACUUUGCAACCAGGGUCCUAAAGCUAUAUAGAGUAUCAUAUGACAAGAGGCAAGGGACAUGCGUGUGACUCCGUGUCUUCCUUCUUGCCUUAAUUUACCAGAACUCAACCAUGAGAGCUGCACCAUAAUGGCCUUAUUUAAACAUAGUCAUAUCUUAAAGGCCUUGUCUCUAAACACUAUCACUGAAUUAAUUUUGUACCAUCCUAAUACAUUACAAUGGGGGAAGGUUUCAACAUAUAAAGUUGUGAGGCACACUCGGACCAUAUACAAAUCAUGGUGGUAUGGAUAUUAUCUUUAUAAUUGCUGGUACUCCAUGGUAAAAUGCUUAACUAGCAUGUACAAAGCCAUAGGUUCAAUCUCUAGUACCAAUGACAGAUACACUCACAAAGCAAGUACCUACUAGAACUUAAUUCUUGCUGUAAUCCAUUCUGAUGAAGAUAUAGGUAUGCACAGCAACAAAUAACUAUUUUUUCCUCCGUGUAGACUAUAAACUACAGAGUGUACACUCUUGCAGUUUGUUCUGGACCCUUAAAGCUCUUGCUACUUUUUUCCUGAGAGUUGGUUCCUAUGAAAUAGACUGGUGCCUGCCUAAAUUUUGGUGAUUCUGACAUGAUGUGCAAAUUCCAUGUUGCUGUGAAGGAAACCUGACAGGAGAGCAGCCUCCAAAAAGGCAAACAUGCUUGGAAAAUCAAUUGUUUCUGACCUGAGCUGAAGAGCCAGCUCAGCAUGUAUUGAAAUGAGCCCAGGGCCCUACACAUUCCAGAUAGGCUAUCUAGCACUGAAACAACCACAGCACUCUUGACCAUUUUAUAUUGAGACCAGAUAGCUCAUUAAGUUGACCACCACUGGGAGUUAGGAAAGUCUUGAAGUUGUGAUCCUCCUGCCUCAGUCUCCCUCAUAGCUGGGAUUACAGUUCUGUAACAUCAGGCUUGGCUGGCUGGGGGUUUUCUUUACUAGAAGCACCCUAUUUCAAUUCCAUCCUAUAAGUACCUAUGUGAGUUCAUUUACCAUGAACUGAAAAAAAAUCACAUAUAUGUAUGGCCAUUCAAAAGAGUCAUUUCUACCUUUAUGGUUCAUUGGAAAUUCAUUUUAAUAUCAGAACUGAGCAUAACUGCUGUGUGCUGGUCUAGCAUUUCCUGUCCCCUUUCAUCUUUCCUAUUGCCAUUUUGCCUCUUUCCUUCAAGAUCACAUAUAAAGUCCCCUAACUUUUUUAAAGUUUUCCUGGUUCACCUUCCUACAUAGCUUACAGCCUCUUUCUGCUCUCAACUCAAAGUCUCCCUGUCAUUUAUAAUUUUUAGCCUUUGGGAACUGUUUAUUAUAGUUAGCGUUGACAAUUAACAUAUCUCUAUGACCAUUUCCUGCUCUGUAAGUCAUUGGUUCCCUUGAAACAAGUACUUUACAUUUCCAAGGUCAAGUUUUCCUCUGUUACUUCUACUUCUCUACUUCAGUAUUUACGGUGUCAAUAUUUUUUCCUAGGGUCAGCCUAGGGAAUUCCUGAUGCUUGAAUUAACACCAACAGUGAUCCGUAUAGUCUCAAAGAGGCUGAUGCUUGUAUGGAGGCCUUCUGAGCAUCUCCCAUAUCCAACUGCCCUUGUAAACAUCUCUUCUUCCUCUGCUGUAGACAAGGAAAUGAACCAGAAAUGCAGAAAUUCUAUCAUUCUUAUGAACCAUUCUUUAUGCCCCCUCCAUCCCAAUGUUACUUUGCCUGUUUGAGCUUGCUUUGUAUAGUAGACUUGCUCAAUCUGGUCACUGUGGAUGACAACCACAUUGUUUAAAAGCCCUUCAAUAUGUGGACUGUUUAAAAUCAUUGUACUGCUAAGCCAGUGGGUUCUUCUGGCUCUUGGAUGAGGGCUUCACCUCAUGUAUUUGCACUGCCCUUAUACUAGUUAUUGCUAACCUCAAAAUCAGGUUGAGAAUUCAAAGAAAAUCAAACCCUUAUGCAUUGCCCUAAGGCAAAACUGUCCCCCUUACUACCUUAAGUGCCCGAUUUUCAUUGACUGCUUUUUUUUCCUGGUGAAAAUUAAUACCACAUUGAAGGAAGAUAAAGUUGUAUGGUCUUUAGCCCAAUGCCAGUUUUGGCUGAUGUAUAGAGGCAAGCAGAAGAUAGGAAGAACCACUCUGUGACAAUGUAGAGUGGAUCUUCACCACCAGAAAACUACUUUUUCAGUGAGGGUGGUGGACCAGCAGCACAAUCCAACUCUAACUGGGAUACAAUGAAACCUUGGCUUGGAAGAAUGGGAUAUAUCAUUUUAUAGACUUGUUCCUGGUUUCUUUUCUCAACAUGUAGUAGUAUCAUAACGAAAAGGAGGUGGGGGGAGAAGGGCUCUGGUAGGAGCUAGGAUGAUGUUUUUGCUUUCAGCUCCUAGCUCAGUGUUUGAUUGCCUCCUGGUGUCAGUUUUAAUUGACAGCAACGACAAAAGUACUCAGAUGGGGGAUGGAGAGAUGGCUCAGUGGUUAAGAGCACUGACUGUUCUUCCCAAGGACCCGGGUUCAAUUCCCAGCACCCACAUGGCAGCUUACAACUGUCUGUAACUCCAGUUCCAGGGGAUCUGAUACCUUCACACCAAUGCACAUAAAAUAAAGUGAAAUACAUUUUUUAAAAAGUUCUCAGAUGAAUCUCACCAUCAGAAAGGGAUUACGAGGCCAUCUAAUUCACGCGUAUGCCCAACCCCUGCCCAGCUCCUGUGCGGAGUUACACCUAAAGCACGCUCUAUAAUGCAGGGCUUGUCAGGAAAGGCUGUGCUGUUGUUUGUCCCACUCAGGGAAACUGGAGUGCAAACCAGCAGAGGAAUUGGCAGCUCAGCUUUGCUCGCUGGCCCUGCUGCAUAUGGGGUCAGGCCCGGAAUGUCAGUGUUCCAGAGCUCACACCCAGAGAGAG